rnacentral:rRNA from 1 species
UACGGGGGGGGCAAGCGUUGUUCGGAAUUACUGGGCGUAAAGGGCUCGUAGGCGGCCAACUAAGUCGGACGUGAAAUCCCCGGGCUCAACCCGGGAACUGCGUCCGAUACUGGGAGGCUUGAAUCCGGGAGAGGGAUGUGGAAUUCCAGGUGUAGCGGUGAAAUGCGUAGAUAUCUGGAGGAACACCGGUGGCGAAGGCGGCAUCCUGGACCGGUAUUGACGCUGAGGCGCGAAAGCCAGGGGAGCAAACGGG